ACCUGCUCUAGGGUUCUCAGACAACUCGGUUCAGGUCAUUCUUGACGAUGAAGUCUAAAAUAAACAUGUUGUUUAAAGUAGUAUUGCUCUGGACAAUUAUCUACAUCCAAGAAUGCAGAGGGCAGUACACAGUGACUCAGACUCCAUCAGUAUUAGCUGCUGUUCCUGGACAAACAGUCUCCCUGAACUGUAAAGUUAGCAGUAAUGUUUAUAACAACAACCAUCUGUACUGGUACCAUCAGGUAUCUGGAGAGCCUCCUAAACUCCUGAUUUACUAUACUGACCGUCUCCAGUCAGGCACUCCAUCUCGAUUCAGUGGCAGUGGAUCUGGAAGUGCUUUCACUCUGACCAUCAGUGGAGUCCAGACUGAAGAUGCAGGAGAUUACUACUGUGAGAGUGUCCACAGUGGUCCUGUGUUCACACAGUGAUACAGAGCCGUACAAAAACCUCCCUCUGUGAGAGUACACAUGACUGCACUGCUGCAGCACAGACUUUCAGCAGGUGUGAGGCGGGGUUUAGUAAUAC